CCUACGGGAGGCAGCAGUGGGGGAUAUUGCACAAUGGGGGAAACCCUGAUGCAGCAACGCCGCGUGUGGGAAGAAGGCUUUCGGAUUGUAAACCUCUGUUCUUGGUGACGAUAAUGACGGUAAUCACGCAGAAAUCUGCGGCUACCUACGUGCCAGCAGCCGCGGUAAUACGUAGGGAGCAAGCGUUGUCCGGAUUUACUGGGUGUAAAGGGUGCGUAGGCGGUAAUGCAAGUCAGACGUGAAAACCACAGGCUCAACCCGUGGACUGCGUUUGAAACUGUGGGGCUUGAGUGAAGUAGAGGUAGGCGGAAUUCCGGGUGUAGCGGUGAAAUGCGUAGAGAUCGGGAGGAACACCAGUGGCGAAGGCGGCCUGCUGGGCUUUAACUGACGCUGAGGCGCGAAAGCAUGGGUAGCAAACAGGAUUAGAUACCCUUGUAGUC
rnacentral:rRNA from 1 species